rnacentral:rRNA from 1 species
UACGGGGGGGGCAAGCGUUGUUCGGAAUUACUGGGCGUAAAGGGCUCGUAGGUGGCCAACUAAGUCAGACGUGAAAUCCCUCAGCUUAACUGGGGAACUGCGUCUGAUACUGGAUGGCUUGAGUUUGGGAGAGGGAUGCGGAAUUCCAGGUGUAGCGGUGAAAUGCGUAGAUAUUGGGAGGAACACCAGUGGCGAAGGUGGCUCACUGGACCGGAACUGACGCUGAGGCGCGAAAGCGUGGGGAGCAAACAGG